rnacentral:rRNA from 1 species
UACGUAGGUGGCAAGCGUUGUCCGGAUUUAUUGGGUUUAAAGGGUGCGUAGGCGGCUUUGUAAGUCAGUGGUGAAAUAUGGCAGCUCAACUGUCAGGGUGCCAUUGAUACUGCGGAGCUUGAGUACAGAUGAGGUAGGCGGAAUUGACGGUGUAGCGGUGAAAUGCUUAGAUAUCGUCAAGAACACCGAUAGCGAAGGCAGCUUACUGGGCUGUAACUGACGCUGAGGCACGAAAAGUGUGG